UACGAAGGGGGCUAGCGUUGUUCGGAAUUACUGGGCGUAAAGCGCACGUAGGCGGAUAUUUAAGUCAGGGGUGAAAUCCCGGGGCUCAACCCCGAAACUGCCUUUGAUACUGGGUAUCUCGAGUCCGAGAGAGGUGAGUGGAAUUCCGAGUGUAGAGGUGAAAUUCGUAGAUAUUCGGAGGAACACCAGUGGCGAAGGCGGCUCACUGGCUCGGUACUGACGCUGAGGUGCGAAAGCGUGGGGAGCAAACAGG
rnacentral:rRNA from 1 species